UCCCGAACUCAGAAGUGAAACGAAACAGCGUCGAUGGUAGUGUGGGGCCUCCCCAUGUGAGAGUAGAACAUCGCCAGGCU
rnacentral:rRNA from 1 species